CGUGUUCAUACUGAGCUCAGCCUCUGAGGAGUCAACUUGAAUAGCAAUUAUAUUCAGAUAACAAAGUAAAAGUCAUCUGAUGAGAGGAUGGCGUCCGAAAGUCAAAACACCGGGACUUUAUGGCAGAGCCAAUGAGAGAUAAGCUCGUAACUGCCCUACCAGGAAUAGGACCGGUUCUUGGUGAAAACUCAAACAAGCGGGGUUUACAAAGGCGUACCAUGUUCUGGGCAAGUUCCUGAAGUUGAGCAAAGAUGCGGAUCAUUUCAAAGCCUGGCUGAAGGAAACAUUUGAUGCUGAUGCCAAACAGGCGGAUGAUUGCUACAAUGGUCUGAGAGAAUGGUGUAAUGCUCACUUGUGAGGUGCCUGCCCUGUCAUAUCUUACUUCUUUCCACAUUUACUCGUGCAUACUCUUACGUUGGGCUUCCUUGGUCCACGUUGAACAACUCACUCCUCUUUUGUUAGAUCAUUUAUUCGUUUGGUGACGUGGUUUGUUUGUCUUGGACAACAUUUGUAGGAAUGGAUUAUUGUUAGUUGUUAAUGUGCUUGCUUGUUAUGCUUGCUUUGGUAGGUUUAAAAACACUACAAUCAGACAUUCAUCACUUUGAAACAGCUUGGACCCAGAUCUAUAUGAAAUAGUAGUUAUAUACAUUUAUAGUAUUGAUGGUAUUCAAGGAACCAUUAGGCAUUUCACCUGUAACCCUUUAAUGGAAGAGCCCAAAUUCCUUAACAUUUUACGCCAAUGAUAAACUACAUUUUGUUCUCAGAAUGCCAUCUGGCACUGGUGACAUAUGCUUGUUUGUUGGACUUUGUUUGAAAAGUUGUACAUGACCUGACUGAGCAGUUAUUAAUCCCAAGGCAAGAAACUAGAGAAAAGCUUUCUAUGGGAAAAUGUAAGCUGGAGUGCAGUAAUUGUUUGUUUCGUUGUUAUAUAAAGCAAACUGAUCUGACAAGUAAGGAAAAGGGUUAGAUUUAAUACUAAGCUUAGUAGGAUAUUCACAAGCUACGUUGUUGUACUGUCCUGACACAGGGAUUCAAUUGUUCAUCUCUGUACACAAUGAUAAUUACCAUAUCUGAUACAUUAUACAUGUACAUCAAUGUGAGUUUUCCAUUUUACGUUGUGGCAAUGUUCAAUAAAUUCUUAUUUUAGUAA